GGAGUUAGCCGGUGCUUCUUCUGCGAGUAACGUCACAGAUGUAAGGUAUUAACUUACACCCUUUCCUCCUAGCUGAAAGUGCUUUACAACCCGAAGGCCUUCUUCACACACGCGGCAUGGCUGCAUCAGGGUUUCCCCCAUUGUGCAAUAUUCCCCACUGCUGCCUCCCGUAGGAGUCUGGGCCGUGUCUCAGUCCCAGUGUGGCUGAUCAUCCUCUCAGACCAGCUAGGGAUCGUCGCCUAGGUGAGCCUUUACCUCACCUACUAGCUAAUCCCACCUGGGCUUAUCCAUCAGCGCAAGGCCCGAAGGUCCCCUGCUUUCCCCCGUAGGGCGUAUGCGGUAUUAGCAGUCGUUUCCAACUGUUAUCCCCCACAAAUGGGCAAAUUCCCAGGCAUUACUCACCCGUCCGCCGCUCGUCAUCUUCAAAAGCAAGCUUUUGAAAUGUUACCGCUCGACUUGCAUGUGUUAGGCCUGCCGCCAGCGUUCAAUCUGAGCCAGAAUCGAACCCUGA
rnacentral:rRNA from 1 species